GCGUGUUCUUGGCGCCUUAGGAUCUACGGUUCCCUUUUUGUACAUUUUAGUACUGAAAUGAACUGAGCGACGCUUUACUCCUUUCUUUGCGUCCAAACAUCCAUUGCUCAAUUUAACAAAUUUUCUCUUAGAUUUCAUGCUUCUGCUUUACAGUUAUUAUUUCUCUGAUGACUAAUGAUUCUCUGCCCCGUAUGAUCGCCGCUACUUCGCUGCUCCUAUCCCCGAAACAAAUCGCGGUUUUCAACUCUGGUCAUCACUAUUCCGGUAGUUUGUUCUGUUCUAUUCCUUUAGGAUUUGUCUCAAAUUUGGGUUUUGGAGGGGAGCGUGCUCUGUCAACGGUGGGGGGUCCCAGGAUGAUGGGGUACUUGCGGAGAAUUGGUGGCGGCUGGUUCAAGGGGGGUAAUGGGAAAGCGCUGAAGAUUGAGGCUGACGGUGGUGGCGAGGACGUUUUUUAUGCGGCGGCUGCUAAGGCGAGGGAUCCGCCAGAUCAUAUCGUCAUCAUGAUAAAUGGGAUCGUAGGGAGUUCUGCAGAUUGGAAGUAUGCUGCAGAGCAAUUUGUGAAGAAACUUCCUGACAAAGUAAUUGUGCACCGCAGUGAAUGCAACUAUUCAAAAUUGACAUUUGAUGGUGUUGAUUUGAUGGGUGAAAGGCUAGCUAAAGAGGUAUUGGCCGUUGUCAAACAUAAGCCUGAGUUACGGAAGAUCUCCUUUGUGGCUCACUCAUUAGGUGGCCUUGUUGCGAGGUAUGCUAUUGCAAGGCUGUAUGAAAAUUUACCAAAAUUGGGUCUCUCAAGUCUUUCUGUGAAUUCCUUAAGUCAAGAACAUAUGAAUUCAGUGCAAUGCCCUGAGCAGCUUUAUGAAGCCAGAAUUGCUGGAUUGGAACCCACGAAUUUUAUAACAUUUGCAACUCCACAUCUUGGUUCAAGAGGAAAUAAACAGCUCCCAUUUCUCUGUGGUCUCCAUUUUCUUGAGAGAAGAGCAUCUCAGACUUUAAUUGUUGGAAGGACUGGAAAGCAUCUCUUUCUCACUGACAAUGAUGGUGGGAAACCUCCCCUCCUCCUUCAAAUGGUUAAUGACUCUGAUGACC
rnacentral:misc_RNA from 1 species